UGGGGAAUAUUGCACAAUGGGCGCAAGCCUGAUGCAGCCAAGCCGCGUGUAUGAAGAAGGCCUUCGGGUUGUAAAGUACUUUCAGCGAGGAGGAAGGCGGUAAGGUUAAUAACCUUAUCGAUUGACGUUACUCGCAGAAGAAGCACCGGCUAACUCCGUGCCAGCAGCCGCGGUAAUACGGAGGGUGCAAGCGUUAAUCGGAAUUACUGGGCGUAAAGCGCACGCAGGCGGUCUGUCAAGUCGGAUGUGAAAUCCCCGGGCUCAACCUGGGAACUGCAUUCGAAACUGGCAGGCUAGAGUCUUGUAGAGGGGGGUAGAAUUCCAGGUGUAGCGGUGAAAUGCGUAGAGAUCUGGAGGAAUACCGGUGGCGAAGGCGGCCCCCUGGACAAAGACUGACGCUCAGGUGCGAAAGCGUGGGGAGCAAACA
rnacentral:rRNA from 1 species